ACAAAGUUUUUCUCUAAUUUCGCCUAAAAAAUGAUGCACACUGUUAGGUGAAAGUUUUACGGCCAGCAGCCCCUUGAAAUCUAAGGGGGAUCUCAGGAGUUCUGGCUGCAUCCAUAGCCGGGAGGAUUUCGACCGGGAGAACUGCUCUUACAAUCGGACGAUAUCUUUCUCGAAACAAACAAAAAGGAAAAGAAAGAGAAAACAAAAAUCAUGAUCAACUAAGCCCUGUG
rnacentral:lncRNA from 1 species